AGAGUUUGAUCCUGGCUCAGGACGAACGCUGGCGGCGCGCUUAACACAUGCAAGUCGAGCGAGAACCAGGGCUUCGGCCCCGGGGACAGCGGCGAACGGGUGAGUAACACGUGGGUAAUCUGCCCUCGGUACUGGGAUAGCCCGGGGAAACCCGGAUUAAUACCGGAUGGCCCUUCGAGUUUUCGAAUUCGAAGGAAAAGGUAGCUUCGGCCUCCGACCGAGGAUGAGCCCGCGGCGGAUUAGCUUGUUGGUGGGGUAACGGCCUACCAAGGCGACGAUCCGUAGCUGGUCUGAGAGGACGAUCAGCCACACUGGGACUGAGACACGGCCCAGACUCCUACGGGAGGCAGCAGUGGGGAAUCUUGCCCAAUGGGCGAAAGCCUGAGGCAGCGACGCCGCGUGCGGGAAGAAGGCCUUCGGGUUGUAAACCGCUUUCAGGAGGGACGAAGCCACUCGGGUGAAUAGCCCAGAGGGUGACGGUACCUCCAGAAGAAGCCCCGGCUAACUACGUGCCAGCAGCCGCGGUAAUAC
rnacentral:rRNA from 1 species